rnacentral:rRNA from 1 species
AACGAACGCUGGCGGCAUGCCUAACACAUGCAAGUCGAACGAGACCUUCGGGUCUAGCGGCGCACGGGUGCGUAACGCGUGGGAACCUGCCCUUAGGUUCGGAAUAACUCCCCGAAAGGGGUGCUAAUACCGGAUAAUGUCUUCGGACCAAAGAUUUAUCGCCUUUGGAUGGGCCCGUGUUGGAUUAGCUAGUUGGUAGGGUAAAAGCCUACCAAGGCGACGAUCCAUAGCUGGUCUGAGAGGAUGAUCAGCCACACUGGGACUGAGACACGGCCCAGACUCCUACGGGAGGCAGCAGUGGGGAAUAUUGGACAAUGGGCGAAAGCCUGAUCCAGCAAUGCCGCGUGAGUGAUGAAGGCCUUAGGGUUGUAAAGCUCUUUUACCCGGGAUGAUAAUGACAGUACCGGGAGAAUAAGCUCCGGCUAACUCCGU